CAUUGUGAUGUAGCAUUAGGCUACUAUUGAUCUUCUGAUCAUAUGUCAGAAGGAGGAUCAUCUGCUGUGGGUGUUCCUGAUCUUUGAGCCAUGAUAAUGUUACUGGUUGGAUGUCAGGAGCAGGCCAUGUGGAUGAUUAAAAGAUGAAUAUCAUAUACAGCAUGGAUAUGUUGGACAAAAAGAUGAUUCACAUCCCAGACAGAAUGGAGCAGCACAUUUAUUAAAAGCCAGAAGCUAGAAGACGAGGAAAGAAGAGGUGGUUAAAGAAAGAUACAGUAACAGCAGUAAUAUCUAACAGGAAGGCUACAGGGGAAAAUACAGAAAUUCCAUAAAGAACAAACACUGUAACUCAAAACCAAAGCUUUGCUAGUCACUAGUGCCCGCUACAUCCUAACAGUUGUUCUUCCAGAUGGCAUGAAUCCAACAGUGAAGAAAUCAGAAUACGUUGCUUUUGUGAGGGGCAGCUGCUGAUUUUCUCUGAGCUCCGUUUCCAGCCUUCACAUGCUCUGCUAUUCAUCACAGGGUAAAUUCUGACUAUAGGAGGUACUGACAGAAGAUUAGGGAAGAACAGAGGGCUAAAUGUUUAUUGACUUCUUGAAAAAUGCUAUGUGUCUUGCCAGACUUAGCUUACAAGUUUGGUUAAAGAGAGACUGACAUGAGCAUAAAGGAAGGGACAUUGAAAGAGGCAGAGAUGAAGGAAGAAAUUGUAACUUACUCCUUUUAUCCCACCCAUCAAAGGAAAGACAAGUUGACAAGUAUUGAUUCUGCAACAAACUGAGAAGAAACCUGGCGAUUCACAACAGAGAGCUGAGAAAUCCUAAGUCUGGAUUCCAGCUAAAUGGGAGCAGACUAAAUAGAGCGGCAGUCGGCGAACUACAUGUAGCCCAUGAACAAAAUCCGGUCCAGCACGUGUGUUUUUUUUUACGGCCCACAAAUGAGUCUGUCUUUACAGAUGAAUGUUAAAACUGGGUUGACAAGAGAGAACACUCACUUUGAACCGCAACUAAACAAAAUAUUAUCACCUUUCCCCUCAAAAAAGGUUUUUGUUCUUCUCAUUAGUAAAUUUGUAUUAUGACAAAAUCAUAGUCAAUUUUUAUCAUAUUCUAAAUUUUGACAAUACAAAUUGUGGGAUUUUUUUCCCUGGUUAUAUAUGUACAUACAUAAUGCCCUGAAUUGUUCCUUAUGAUCACGAAGCCCUAAAUAUUUACUGUCUGGCCCUUUACAGAAAGAAACUGUCAACUGCUAGAAUAGAAAAAUAUUUUCCACCUCUUAACAGUUCUUACAAGUGCAAAAAUAUGUAUAUUUC
rnacentral:lncRNA from 1 species